CAUUAGAUGACUGAAAGAAAGUACUGGUCUCUUAAACCAUUUUAUAGUAAAGUUCCGCUUACUUCUAAUGA
rnacentral:tRNA from 1 species